rnacentral:rRNA from 1 species
UACAGAGGGUGCAAGCGUUGUUCGGAAUUAUUGGGCGUAAAGGGCGCGUAGGCGGUGCGGUAAGUCUGUAGUGAAAUCUCUGGGCUCAACCUGGGAAUGGCAUUUGGGACUGCAAGGCUGGAGUCCGGAAGAGGAGUGUGGAAUUCCCGGUGUAGCGGUGAAAUGCGCAGAUAUCGGGAAGAACACCCGUGGCGAAGGCGGCACUCUGGGACGGUACUGACGCUGAGACGCGAAAGCGUGGGGAGCGAACAGG